GUCAUAUUGGGUGCAACUCUGCCAUGAUGUGGUGGUUUAAAAUCAUUUAACACCACAAGUACACAAUUUUCAUGUGCACAACAUUCACAAAAGCAAUGAAAAGAAAAUAAAAGAAUAGAAAUGAAGAAAGAAAAAGAAACAAUAAUGCGACAAUUGUUACCAAUAAAAUUCAUGAACACAUGAAGCUUUUAAUUAACCUACAAACUCAACUAAAAGCAAUGGAAGCCGCACCUUAACCUUUACUAAGUGAGUAAGUUCAUCAUCAUUUUCGUCGUCGAAGUCAUUGCUGCAAAAAAUGAUGCUACUUGCUCGCAAUGCAAUUCCUUUAAAUCAUUCGGAUUCGGACAAGGUUGAGACGAUUCCAAGGAAAAUGCAGGUGUCGGAGAAUGGAAUGGGCGUAUGGUCUUUACACGUCCAAGUCUUGUCACUCAAGUCACAGACUUGCAGCGUGUUGAAUGCAGCAGGAUCCACAUCACCUAGAAAUUUAGUUGCGAGAUGGCUAGUAAAUGAGAUACUUCCAUGGAUCCUCCCUUUUUGUUGCUUCGGAGGAUACUGAGUAGACGACUCGUAUCGACAAUUCUUCGCUAGCGUCGAAGACUUGGAACUCAUUUCGUAGAAUACACCCAGGCUGUGAGCUUCGGUGGAAGUGUGUUUGUUUGCCGUCCAGAGUGUUUCGUGAUUCGUGGCUGCACUUUCUCAGACUGCUUCAUGGUUCGAACCUGCCCCUCAGUGAAGCUUCAUCAUCUGUGUGAAAAAUCCAAGACGUGGAAACGAGCUUCUCUCGUACUGGUCUCGGGGGUUGUGGACGUGAAUCUUCCAGUACUGGACCUCGGAAUCACCUUGACUGGAAGCCCGUUUCCGUUGUCGCAGAGGUCCGCACUUAGUGUGUGUUUUUUUGGUUUUCAAGACAAGAAGUGCAUCACGAAGUGCUUGUUCGCGCCCUUUCCUUUUGAGCCAGCAAGGCGCGCCGGAAGAUUCAUCAAGCACCUUCGAGAGAGUCUCUUUGGUAGAAUGUAUAGUUUCAAAUGCACGAUUCUAGUACGAGCUCUGGAGCGGCGAGAUUAGGAGAGAAGGGGACGGUUGCGCAAGCGCGGGGGCUCAGUGUUCCAGACGCCACCCAACCAUGCGAAUCUCCAACCGUGCCUCACAUCCUCAGAUCUAAAUGUAGAUGGAAUGAUGGGUUGCAGAUGUGGAAUGAGCACAUGGAUUGUUUGAGUGGCAUGACAUUUGCCGAAGGCGCUAACGCGGAUGAGGUGGUCCUGCGACCACGCGAGACACCCGUCAGGCGCCCUGUUGUCUGGAAACAUGCCGCACUGUUUUAUCCUGUGUUUUCAAUGAGUCGAAAGAUGGUGAGAAACUUUCACGGUUUCGCCGUGGCGGCGGGUGCAGAUCAGGUUAGGGUCUAUUGGGGUUGAACCCUGGGCUGACGCGGCACAGGAAGCCUGAGCUCCUAUUUUUCUCUUGUGAAUGUCGCGACGUGCAAAAGGAGCCCAUGAACAGUUACUCAUCUCCGGAUAACUAGUGUGCUUCAAUCGAUCUGCCGAAGAUUUUAAAGCUGUGGCAUUCAUCUAGCCUGUUCCAUGGGUGUCGGAUGAUCAAAAUAUCCAAACACCAUCUUUGCCGAUUCUUAAGUUACAAUGGAUUCCAAACUGAUUUACAUUGUUUAAAAUAAUCGCCGACGUGGGGCGACAGGUUGAUCGACAAGUGUAACACAUGGGGGAGAUCCAACCUGGCGACCGAUCAGGUGGUCAAUAAGACACAUCGGAGUAAUCGGAUUGGUUAGAUCGAUUGUUUUGAUCAUAUCGACAUCGAUUGAUCGGAGUCUGCUGGCCUGGACCUGUCUGAUGGAACGACGACACCGGAAAAUAAACUGGAGAUUUGAUUAUAGAGGCCAGUGAUUGACGUUGAUGUAAAUUUAGGGCUUGAUCAGUUAUCAGUUGGUGCAGGGGAUGGGCAGACUGUUGCAGGCAUCUCUCAGGAAUCUCUGGAACUGGAAUCUGGCAACACGGAUUCCAGCUUAUCAGUAGCAUAUUUCCCAAGAGACAAGUGAAUGACUCGUUACCACCAACAAUCAUCGAUCAUCAAUAGUGCGUAGGUCAUCGGGCUGCGGUCUUGCUUGACCUACCCAAAUGUGCAAAUGAACAGCCCCUUGCUCAAUUUAUGCAUGUUAUAACGGUGAUUUGUUGGUAGUGGUCGGCGUGGUAGCUGGGAAUGUGACGCAUCAAGGACGAUGUGUUUUUUGGUCUCUCUGAUCCUACAACAAGGCAACGUAACUGGGGACAAAGAACAGGGUUUCGCCAUCCUCAGCCGGCAACGUCAAGAGGACUCGUGUUUGCUCAUGUUCUGUGCCUGGCAGGGCAGGGUAAAAUAUUCGGAGGAAGGGUUUUGAUGGCAGAGCUAGAUUUUUGCGAGGCAAUUCAGCCAAAUUAUAUUGGCGUUCUGAGUAUGCUUCGUCAGAGAGGAAACGUGGACGGUUAUUUCGAUUCUUUUCAUGAAAUGAAUCUGGUCAACAUGAGAGCUGCUUCUGUCAGUUCCACAUGAGUUCAAUUUUCUAUGAAUUCAUGAGUGUUACCUUUGUAGACCAAAUAAUACUCUAUUUCUCUAAGGGAAGAAGAACCGUAGCGCUCUCCACGUGCCUUGCUUUUCAACAUAAGGAUGCAGACCAUUUGCAUGAGUCGAACUUAGAUGCUAAGUGCAAAAAUGUCUUGGCCAAGUUUCCAAUAAAAACUCCCCCCCACAAAACUAAACAGUUUGCAAAAGAUAUUGUAGAUGGAGUUACAUUUGAAACUAUCACUAAUCAAGUCCCUCGACUUUCAAAAAAGGAUAGGAAUUGCUCAUUAUUUUAUGCUAAAUUUGUUAUGAUUACAUUUGAACGAUUAACAUCUCAUUUUUUGCAGUAUCAGCUAUUCAAAAUCCACAUAUU